rnacentral:snRNA from 1 species
AGCUUUGCGCAGUGGCAGUAUCGCAGCGCGUGAGGUUUAUCUGAGGCGAGAGAUUAUUGCUAAUUGAAAACUUUUCCCAAUACCCUGCCUUGACAACUUGCAAUAGAGUUGGCAUUGGCAAUUUUUGACAGUCUCUAUGGAGA